rnacentral:rRNA from 1 species
AGCUCCAAUAGCGUAUAUUUUAGUUGUUGCAGUUAAAAAGCUCGUAGUUGAAUCUCUGGUGGGGGAAUGCGGUCUGACCCUUAGGGUUAGCACUUGCACUCUCCGGCCAUCCUUGGGUGGAGCCAUUCUGGCAUUAAGUUGUCGGGGUGGGGAUGCCCAUCGUUUACUGUGAAAAAAUUAGAGUGUACAAAGCAGACUUAUGUCGUUGAAUAUAUUAGCAUGGAAUAAUAAGAUAGGACAGCAGUGCUAUUUUGUUGGUUUGCGCACCGUUGUAAUGAUGAAUAGGGACAGUUGUGGGUAUUCGUAUUCACUUGUAAGAGGUGAAAUUCUUAGAUUAAGGGAAGACGAACUACUGCGAAAGCAUUUACCAAGGAUGUUU